rnacentral:rRNA from 1 species
UACCUGGUGGAUCCUGCCAGUAAUCAUAUGCUUGUCUCAAAGACUAAGCCAUGCAAGUCUCAGUAUAAGCCGAACUAAGGUGAAACCGCGAAUGGCUCAAUAUAUCAGUUUUGGUUCCUUAGAUCGUACACAGUUACUUGGAUAACUGUGGCAAUUCUAGAGCUAAUACAUGCAAACGAAGUCCCGACCGGCGACGGAAGGGAUGCUUUUAUUAGAUCAAAAACCAAUCGGCGGCUCGUCCGCGAACUCUUAGAUGACUCUAGAUAACUUUGAGCCGAUCGCACGGUCCUAGCACCGGCGACGCAUCUUUCAAAUGUCUGCCUUAUCAACUGUCGAUGGUAGUUUACGCGACUACCAUGGUUGUCACGGGUAACGGGGAAUCAGGGUUCGAUUCCGGAGAGGGAGCCUGAGAAACGGCUACCACAUCCACGGAAGGCAGCAGGCGCGCAAAUUACCCACUCCCGGCACGGGGAGGUAGUGACGAAAAAUAACGAUACGGGACUCUUAAGAGGCCUCGUGAUCGGAAUGAUUACACUUUAAAUCCUUUAGAGAGGAUCCAUUGGAGGGCAAGUCUGGUGCCAGCAGCCGCGGUAAUUAAAGCUCCAAUAGCAUAUACUAAAGUUGUUGCGGUUAAAAAGCUCGUAGUUGAAAUUGUGUCCUGCGGCGUCGGUCCGCCUUUGCGCGCGACAGACGCGUCUGCGGGGCUUCUCGCCGGUGUGUUUUUAUCGGUACUCGUUAUCGAUGAAUCCUCGCGGCUGUUUACUUUGAACAAAUUAGAGUGCUCAAAGCGGGCUGAUUUUCGCCUGAAUAUUGUGCGCAUGGAAUAAUAGAAUAGGACCUCGGUUCAAUUUUGUUGGCUUUCUGAUACCAGAGGUAAUGAUUAAUAGGGACAACUGGGGGCAUUCGUAUUGCGACGUUAGAGGUGAAAUUCUUGGAUCGUCGCAAGACGGACUAAAGCGAAAGCAUUUGCCAAAGGUGUUUUCAUUAAUCAAGAACGAAAGUUAGAGGUUCGAAGGCGAUUAGAUACCGCUGUAGUUCUAACCAUAAAUGAUGCCAGCCAGCGAUCCGUCGAAGGUAUUUAUAUUGAUUCGAUGGGCAGCUCCCGGGAAACCAAAGCUUUCGGGCUCCGGGGGGAGUAUGGUUGCAAAGCUGAAACUUAAAGGAAUUGACGGAAGGGCACCACCAGGAGUGGAGCCUGCGGCUUAAUUCGACUCAACACGGGAAAACUCACCAGGCCCGGACACUGGAAGGAUUGACGGAUUAACAGCUCUUUCUCGAUUCGGUGGGUGGUGGUGCAUGGCCGCUCUUAGUUGGUGGAGCGAUUUGUCAGGUUAAUUCCGGUAACGAACGUAACUCUAGCCUAUUAAAUAGACGUAUUACCGGUAUCGCGAGGUGCCGCUCUUCGCGUUCAACUACCGGCGUACAUUGUAAUCUUCUUAGAGGGCAAGGCGGCAUAUAUAGCCGCACGAGAUUGAGCAAUAGCAGGUCUGUGAUGCCCUUAGAUGUCCUGGGCCCGACGCGCGCUACACUGAAGGGAUCAGCGUGUUCUUCCUAGGCUUAACGGCUCGGGUAACCCGUUGAAACCUCUUCGUGUCAGGGAUUGGGGUUUGCAAUUCUCCCCCAUGAACGAGGAAUUCCUAGUAAAUGCGGGUCACCAGCUCGCGUUGAUUGCGUCCCUGCCCUUUGUACACACCGCCCGUCGCUACUACCGAUGGGUGAUUUGGUGAGGUCUUCGGACUGGUGCGCGGAAGCCUCUCGGGGCGUCCGACGCGUCGGGAAGUUUGACCGAAUUUGAUCAUUUAGAGGAAGUAAAAGUCGUAACAAGGUUUCCGUAGGUGAACCUGCAGAAGGAUCAUUA